AUGAUAAGCCUCCGCUUGCAUGAAAGAGAACAUGUUGAAGAAGAUCGAAGCAACAAAGGUGAUGAUUUUCGUUGGAGUUUGAAGCAAAGAUCGAAGGAGAUAGAGGUGACUUUCCGCGAUUUGACUCUGUCUGCACCUCAACUUCAUAUUUGGAAUUCAAAGAUUGGAGAUGUUGUUAACAAUGUUGCAGUAGAUAGAUGA